rnacentral:rRNA from 1 species
CAGUUCGGAUUGAAGGCUGAAAUUACGCCUUCCAUGAAGCCGGAAUUGCUAGUAAUGGCAGGUCAGCAUACUGCCGUGAAUACGUUCCCGGGCCUUGUACACACCGCCCGUCACACCAUGAGAGUUGGGAAUACCCGAAGCCUGUGAGCUAACUUAUAGAGGCAGCAGUCGAAGGUAGAAUCAAUGAUUGGGGUGAAGUCGUAACAAGGUAGC